rnacentral:lncRNA from 1 species
UUGCGUUUGCUCCUUCGCAAAAUUCUCCUUAAGGUGGUCGGGCAAGAAAGUAUUUUCUCAAGGAAUUGCUCACUAAGGUGAAGUGAAAAUAGGGAUGGCUAUGCGUGAAAAUGAGAGGAAAAUGAAAUGAGAGAAGAGAAUUGAAGUGAAGAAUGAGGGACGUAAAGGGUAGAAUUUAUAGUGGAUGGAUAACUAGGAGGUUUACUAAAAAUAGCUUUAAAAUCCCUUAGUUUUCUCUUCCCCAUGGCCUUCUGUGAAUUUUGGAGAUGGGAGGUUGUUGGUUGCUUGAUUCAUGCAUGAAAUCAUACUUGAAUCAAGCAAGGUGGUGGACGGUUUCAAGGGUGAAAGUGGUGUGAUGAUUUUUUAUUGAUUUCCAAGUGUAAGGACCUCCGAAUAAAUCUCCCAAAAGCUAAUUUUGGACUGCUCAUAUGCCCUUGCUGAAUUGGGCUUCUCUCCCCCUUGUUUGGACGAUUUUGUAACCUAAUUAUUUGUCAAACUUGUCCUUCAUUUAAACCAUCUUUAAUUGGAUCAAGGUGACACCUUCA